CUCACCUGGGUCCCUCAGAUCGGGGGAGGGAUUUUGUGGGAAUGGCACAAAAGGUUGGGAAUGGCUGGAGGGGUUUUAUGGGAAGAUCCCAGUGUGGAACUGGGAAUUGUGCACCUGGAAUGUCCCUUUGGGGACAGCGGGUGACAAUGGGGUGGCACCAAGGUGUGUCCCCCUCACCUGGGUCCCUCAGAUCAGGGGAGGAAUUUUGUGGGAAUGGCACAAAAGGUUGGGAAUGGCUGGAGGGAUUUUAUGGGAAGAUCCCAGUGUGGAACUGGGAAUUGUGCACCUGGAAUGUCCCUUUGGGGACAGCAGGUGACAAUGGGGUGGCACCAAGGUGUGUCCCCCCCUCACCUGGGUCCCUCAGAAUUUUGGGAAUGGCACAAAAGGUUGGGAAUGGCUGGAGGGGUUUUAUGGGAAGAUCCCAGUGUGAAACUGGGAAUUGUGCACCUGGAAUGUCCCUUUGGGGACAGCGGGUGACAAUGGGGUGGCACCGGGCUGUCCCCUCUAUUCGGGUUCCUGGGAUUGGGGAGGGAUUUUGGGAAUGGCACAAAAGGUUGGGAAUGGCUGGAGGGGUUUUAUGGGAGCCAAUUCCAGUUUGGAACUGGGACUGUGAGGGAAGGGCUGGGUUUUCUGGAAUUCUGGAAUUUUGGGGAUUUUGGGAAUUGUGGAUUUGUGGAAUUCCCAGGGAGGGAUCGACCCCAGAGCGGCCCCUGGGAUUUGGGGGGGUUCAGGGUUUCCCACAUUAUGGGGAUAAUGGGAAUAAUGGGAAUAAUGGGAAUAGGAACUGAGGGGAGUGGGAAUAAUGGGAAUAAUGGGAAUAAUGGGAAUAAUGGGGAUAAUGGGAAUGGGAACUGAGGAGAGUGGGAAUAAUGGGAAUAAUGGGAAUAAUGGGAAUGGGGAGAGGGGUAGGAAUGGGAAUAGUGGGAAUGAUGGGAGUGGGGAGAGUGGGAAUAAUGGGAAUAGGAGAAGUGGGAAUGGGAAUAAUGGGAAUAAUGGCAAUAACAGAAAUGGGGAGAGUGGGAUUGGGAAUAAUGGGAAUUGAGGAGAGUGGGAUUAAUGGGAAUAAUGGGAAUGGAGAAAGUGGGAAUAAUGGAAUAAUGGGAAUAAUGGGAAUGGAAGUAGUGGGAAUGGGGGGAAUGGGAAUGGGGAGAUUGGGAAUGGAAAUAACGGGAAUGGGAACUGGGGAGAGGGGAUGGAAUGAGGGGAGAAGGGCUGGGAAGGGGGAAUGGGAAGGGAGCAGGAACUGGGAUGAGAGAGGGUGGGAUAACUGGGAUAAAAGUGGGAAAGGGGAGAGGGGAUGGAAAGGGGCAGAGGAAUUGGGAAAAAGGGGGAGAGGAAAUGGGA
rnacentral:lncRNA from 1 species